rnacentral:lncRNA from 10 species
GUGUCGACACCCAAAUCUCAUCUUAAAUUCCCACGUGUUGUGGGAGAGACCCAGUGGGAGGUAAUUGAAUCAUGGGGACAGGUCUUUUCCAUGCUGUUCGGGUGAUAGUGAAUAAGACUCACAAGCUCUGAUGGUUUUAAAACGGGGAGUUUCCCUGCACGAGCUCUCUUCUCUUGCCUGCCGCCAUGUGAGACGUGCUUUUCACCUUCCGCCUUGAUUGUGGGGCCUCCCCAGCCACGUGGAUCUGUAAGUCCGUUAAACUUCUUUCUUUUUUAAAUUGCCCAGUCUCAGGUAUGCCUUUAUUAGUAGCAUGAAAACAGACUAAUACACUAUUGUUACAAUCAAAGCGACUCUGACAUUUAAGUCAGAGUAGGGAGAGUAGCAAAGUAGCAAGUGGAUCUUCUUCUUAUAGCUAUCGUUAUAGGAGGGAAAAAAGACCUUUAGAAAGAAUUUUUGGAAUCAUUUC